GUGCCAGCAGCCGCGGUAAGACAGAGGGUGCAAACGUUGUUCGGAAUUACUGGGCGUAAAGCGCGUGUAGGCGGCUAUGUAAGUCGGACGUGAAAGCCCACGGCUCAACUGUGGAAGUGCGCUCGAAACUGUGUAGCUUGAGUCUUGGAGAGGAAGGCGGAAUACUUGGUGUAGAGGUGAAAUUCGUAGAUAUCAGGUAGAACACCAGUGGCGAAGGCGGCCUUCUGGACAAUGACUGACGCUGAGACGCGAAAGCGUGGGGAGCAAACAGGAUUAGAAACCCCCGUAGUCC
rnacentral:rRNA from 1 species